UACGAAGGGGGCUAGCGUUGUUCGGAAUUAUUGGGCGUAAAGCGCACGUAGGCGGCCGAUUAAGUCGGGUGUGAAAGCCCAGGGCUCAACCCUGGAAGUGCACUCGAAACUGGACGGCUUGAAUAUGGAAGAGGGUUGCGGAAUUCCCGGUGUAGAGGUGAAAGUUCGUAGAUAUCGGGAGGAACACCAGUGGCGAAGGCGGCCUUCUGGACCAGCACUGACACUCAAGCACGAAAGCGUGGGGAGCAAACAGG
rnacentral:rRNA from 1 species